UUUAAUUGAAGAGUUUGAUCAUGGCUCAGAUUGAACGCUGGCGGCAGGCCUAACACAUGCAAGUCGAGCGGUAACAGAAAGUAGCUUGCUACUUUGCUGACGAGCGGCGGACGGGUGAGUAAUGCUUGGGAACAUGCCUUGAGGUGGGGGACAACAGUUGGAAACGACUGCUAAUACCGCAUAAUGUCUACGGACCAAAGGGGGCUUCGGCUCUCGCCUUUAGAU
rnacentral:rRNA from 1 species